UUGAGAUGCCAUGAAAGGCUUAUAAGCAAAGAAGUGACACAGUCUGAGCUUAGCAAAGGCAUUUUUGUGAUAUUGGGUGGAAGACAGAAAUGGAGAAGGGGAGCUACGUGGAUGUGUUGAAGGUACAGGUGAGAGAAAAUGCAAGCCUCAAUUAAAUGAGACAUUUAGGAGGGGGAGUUCAUGAGUUGGUGACCAUCCGAAUGGGAUAUUCUACUAAUUAGCUAUGGUAUGCCCUUUCCUGUCCACCCAUAUGGGAUGGUGAUUGCUGGGCCCUUGGAGAAUGUUGGAGCUGGAACUCAAAACAAAU
rnacentral:lncRNA from 1 species